rnacentral:rRNA from 1 species
AUUGAACGCUGGCGGCAUGCUUUACACAUGCAAGUCGAACGGUAACAGGCCUUCGGGUGCUGACGAGUGGCGAACGGGUGAGUAAUGCAUCGGAACGUACCCAGAGGUGGGGGAUAACGCAGCGAAAGCUGUGCUAAUACCGCAUGUGAUCUGAGGAUGAAAGCGGGGGACCGAGCAGCAAUGUUUGGCCUCGCGCCUUUGGAGCGGCCGAUGUCGGAUUAGCUAGUUGGUGGGGUAAAGGCCUACCAAGGCGACGAUCCGUAGCUGGUCUGAGAGGACGACCCGCCCCACUGGGACUGAGACACGGCCCAGACUCCUACGGGAGGCAGCAGUGGGGAAUUUUGGACAAUGGGCGCAAGCCUGAUCCAGCAAUGCCGCGUGCGGGAAGAAGGCCUUCGGGUUGUAAACCGCUUUUGGCAGGAACGAAACGGUGUCCGCUAAUACCGGGCGCUAAUGACGGUACCUGCAGAAUAAGCACCGGCUAACUACGUG